GUUCUCUUUAACAAAACAAAAAAAUGCCCCACCUUUCUCCAUUAGGUUUUCGACCAAGUCUUUAGGGGACCAAAAACCAGACCACCGUGCACCGUCACGGCGCCCCCCAAGAACGGCGACGAGCGUCACGCGGGACAGAGCUUUCGGUCCCUCUCCUCUACGAGAAAAAGAUAAGAAGGAAAAGGGGUCCCUUCACUCUUUAUGCCCGACUUCAGCAAUGGAGAGGAGGGACUCCGACGACGAAAAUACGGUGCUCAGUGAGUCAGAGAUGCGGAGAGGACGUGAUGGUGGGCUGGUACGAGCAGAGGGUAGGUAUGACAGCAGCGUACGACGCACAUGGGAGCGGGAUAGAGAAGCGGCGCUGGAAAGGCAAGGAACCCUAGGGUUCCCUGAUGUUUUUUUAAUUUUUGGGCCCAAUUGGGCCAAUUUAUUUUUUGGGCCUCCUGUUUUUGGGUUAAUGGGCCCCGGGCAAAUUUGGGCUUGCUCAUAUAUAAUACAUCAAAAAUACUAAAAACAUUAAAAUAAA